rnacentral:tRNA from 1 species
UCCGCAGUAGCUCAAUGGUAGAGCAGCCGGCUGUUAACCGGCGGGUUGUAGGUUCAAGUCCUACCUGCGGAGCCA